rnacentral:rRNA from 1 species
CCCUUAGAUGUUCUGGGCCGCACGCGCGCUACACUGUUUGAUUCAGCGAGUCUUAACCUUGACCGAAAGGUUUGGGUAAUCUUCUAAAGUCAAACGUGAUGGGGAUCGAUCAUUGCAAUUAUUGAUCGUGAACGAGGAAUUCCUAGUAAAUGCAAGUCAUCAGCUUGCGUUGAUUACGUCCCUGCCCUUUGUACACACCGCCCGUCGCUACUACCGAUUGAAUGGUUUAGUGAGAUCUCCGGAUUGGCUCUGUAGGUCCCGCAAGGGAUUUAUUAGUAGCCAAGAAGCUGCUCAAACUUGAUCAUUUGGAGGAAGUAAAAGUCGUAACA